AGAGGUUUUGGGUGGGAGCUGUGCUAUGCAGCCAGAUUUGAACUUGUGCUCUGACUUCCUAGCUUGACCUGAGCCUGCCUCAUCAUCACCACAGUCCUGCCUUAAGACCUGGAUUCUUCAUUGGACCUAGUCACCAUCUCUGGAUUGUACCUACAGGCCAACAGGGUGGCAUCAGAGAAAUAGCUGACCAACCAGUUUCUCCUCCAGCUGGAGCAACCUGCAAUGGCCAAAGUUGUGAGUCAGCAGGCCUUUAAAAAUAUUCCGCGUGGAGAAGGAUAUUGGGAAGGCAUUUCCUGUGAGGUCCUGACCUUCGGUUUCCUUUCGCGCUCUGAUUGUCACUCGGGUUUCCCCUCGCUUUCCCGCCGAGCCCGCCCCGUCCCGCCGCGGCUCCUGAGGCGGGCGGGGCGCUGGCGCCCCCUGGUGGCCGGCGGCCGGGGCGCCCUCACCCGGCCCGCGCUCUUUCCCCUCAGGAAAAAGGCCGCGAGCGGUGCCAAAGGAGCUUUCAUUCGGAUAUUGGAGUGGGGAAAUUCUUCACCGAAAGGGUAGCGAAGAGCUGGGACAGGCUGCCCAGGGAAGGGUUUGAUUUGCCGACCAUCGCAGUGUUACAGAAACUUGUAGAUGUGGCGCUAAGCGUGCCGUAAAAUUCACUACGCCGGGGGUUUAUGUCCGAAAGGGAGAUGGAGGAGUUCUGUAACUUUAUUAGAAUAAAGGGAGAGGUCAUGAGGUCUCUCAAAUUGUUGGGGUAUGCAGGCCCCUUUUUUCCUAAUUUCCCAGACACAUCACCCUCUUUCUUUCCCCAUUGGCUCAGGUACAUGGAAUGUACAGGUUUCCCAAAUCUCCUGCUCUAUGCCCCCCUCUAGUAUGCAAACCCCCACACACACUUUUCUUUCCCCCUUUUAUAACAAAACGCUAUUUGUAACUCUAUUAAGUCUUCAUUCUUUUUCUCUAGGUUCAGGAAUUUUACUCAGCCUUGGCUAAGCAGCAGUCUGUGUCUAUUAGCAGCAUUUUCUAGAACUGACAGUUUCUUCCAUUACUUCCCUGUGUGUAAGUUCCUGGCCCUAUCUACAAGCAGAUUCCCAUGGUUUGUUUGUAAUACAUGCAUCUUAUUCAUUUCAUUCGGGACAUGGUUUGGUGGUGGGGCUGUCAGUGCAAGGUUACUGGUUGGACUCCAUGAUCUGGGAUGUCUUUUCCAACCUUACUGAUUCUAUGACCAGAAGGUGACCAGAACUGCUGUGUUUCUGGCAGCUCUGCUGUCCUUCCUCUCCUGGCUUUGGCAGCCCUGCAAGGAGAACCUUGCUGAGCUGAACUCCCUGCCCCUUCUGGAAACUUUCCUGAAGUUUCCUCCACAGGACAGUUGUGCUCAUCCUGCUCCAAAGCACCUGAUUUCUUAAGUGCCAUUUAGCUAAAAAUUGGUGGGGCCGAGAAGGUCCCCAGGUAAAUCACCCAUGUAGGCAAAGUGAGAAACUGAACUAUUUCCUUUCCCUCCCAAAAGAUUUGAAAAGGGAUAAAUGAACUGUAUGACACACAAGCCUUUUUCUUUCAGGCUAACUGGAAAAUCUGCCCGCUUCAGACAUUUUCCCACAGUUGUGUGGUCAGGUGUUUCUGUUCAGCUGGGGUCCAACAGAUUGUCCUAUAUGGGAAUAGGGCUUUGUGAAAAGAAGUCCCAUAGGAGCUUGUCCUGUUUCCAAAGAAAGGAAAUAUGCGGAUCCUUUGUCU